GACGAACCGUGCGAACGUUAUUCGGAAUCACUGGGCUUAAAGGGCGCGUAGGCGGGCGGCCGAGUCCGGGGUGAAAGCCCCCAGCUCAACUGGGGAAGUGCCUCGGAUACCGGCCGUCUCGAGGGGGAUAGGGGCGUGCGGAACUUCCGGUGGAGCGGUGAAAUGCGUAGAUAUCGGAAGGAACACCGGUGGCGAAAGCGGUUCUCUGGGCCUGUGCUGACGCUGAGGAGCGAAAGCGUGGGGAGCGAACAGG
rnacentral:rRNA from 1 species